rnacentral:rRNA from 1 species
GUGCCAGCAGCCGCGGUAAUACGGAGGGUGCAAGCGUUAUCCGGAUUCACUGGGUUUAAAGGGUGCGUAGGCGGGCAGAUAAGUCAGUGGUGAAAUCUCUGGGCUUAACCCAGAAACUGCCGUUGAUACUAUUUGUCUUGAAUAUCAUGGAGGUAAGCGGAAUAUGUCAUGUAGCGGUGAAAUGCUUAGAUAUGACAUAGAACACCGAUAGCGAAGGCAGCUUACUACAUGUUAAUUGACGCUGAGGCACGAAAGCGUGGGGAGCAAACAGGAUUAGAUACCCGCGUAGUCC